rnacentral:rRNA from 1 species
ACCGGCGAACGGGGUAGGAACACCUCGGUAACGAACCCUCAAGACGGGGAUAGCGGCGGGAAACUGCCGGUAAUACCCGAUGAUCUGGCAGGACUGUGAUGCCUGCCAGCAAAGGUGUGAUUCCGCUUGAGGACCGGCUGAGGCGCUAUUAGCUAGUUGGUAAGGUCACGGCUUACCAAGGCGACGAUGGCUAGGGGGUGUGAGAGCUGGCCCCCACCACUGGCACUGAGACACUGGCCAGACACCUACGGGUGGCUGCGUCGAGAAUCUUCGGCAAUGGGCGCAAGCCUGACCGAGCGACGCCGCGUGCGGGAUGAAGGCUUCGGAUUGUAAACCGCUGUCGGGGGGGAUGAAAUGCACCGGGGGCUGUCCCCCGGUGUUUGACAGAGCCCCAGAGGAAGCACGGGCUAAGUUCGUGCCAGCAGCCGCGGUAAUACGAACUGUGCGAACGUUAUUCGGAAUCACUGGGCUUAAAGGGUGCGUAGGCGGUUUGUUAAGUCAGGUGUGAAAUCCCCCGGCUCAACCGGGGAACAGCGCUUGAAACUAGCAGACUUGAGUGAGGUAAGGGUGUGCGGAACUUCCAGUGGAGCGGUGAAAUGUGUAGAUAUUGGAAGGAACGCCGGUGGCGAAAGCGGCACACUGGGCCUUGUCUGACGCUGAGGCACGAAAGCUAGGGGAGUGAACGGGAUUAGAUACCCCGGUAAUCCUAGCCGUAAACACUG